GAAAGUUCUUCCUGAUGGAGGAAUCUCCUUUUCUGUAAUUUGAAUUCAUUGGUUGGGGUCCUGCCCUCUGGAGCAGCAGAAAGCAAGCUUGCUCCAUCUUCCAUGUGACAACACUUCAGAUAUUUGAAGAUGGCUGUCAGAUCCUCUCUCCAUCUUCUCUUCUCCAGGCUAAACAUACCCAAUUACCUCAACC